rnacentral:tRNA from 1 species
CAGACUUUACCUGGAGUUGGAAUUUCAUUUACACUGAAUUUUUUGUCGUGCAAUUCGACAUUGUCUGA